rnacentral:lncRNA from 1 species
CUUCCUGCAUAACUCAGAAGUUUCGUAGUCCAAUGUCUAAUCUUACUAACAAUCUUAUCAAUCAAAGGUUUACUUUGGUACACAGUUAGCUUUCUACUUGAUAGUGGAACCCCUAAGUACUUGAAAGAUAAUAUACAUGUGGAGAAAUUUAUUUUGUUUUUCUUUUUACAAUAAUACAAUUUAGACUUAUUUGUAAUUUCGAUCCCUUUAUUUUUUAUUUAUUUUUAUUUUUGAUCUCUCUAUUUUAAAAU